rnacentral:rRNA from 1 species
AUUGAACGCUGGCGGCAGGCCUAACACAUGCAAGUCGAACGAGUGGCGGACGGGUGAGUAAUGUCUGGGAAUCUAGCUGAUGGAGGGGGAUAACUACGGGAAACUGUAGCUAAUACCGCAUACCAUCGGAUGAGCCCAGGUGGGAUUAGGUAGUUGGUGGGGUAAAGGCUCACCACGGCGACGAUCCCUAGCUGGUCUGAGAGGAUGACAAGCCACACUGGAACUGAGACACGGUCCAGACUCCUACGGGAGGCAGCAGUGGGGAAUAUUGCACAAUGGGCGCAAGCCUGACGCAGCCAUGCCGCGUGAAUGAAGAAGGCCUUCGGGUUGUAAAGUUCUUUCGGUGGGGAGGCGUUAACUACAGAAGAAGCACCGGCUAACUCCGUGCCAGCAGCCGCGGUAAUUC